ACCACGUUGGUUGUCGUAAGUGCUCCCUGCAGUAAGGUGGUAUUUGAGGUAAAUUUUAGAAGUGCCUAGACAAAACGUGCUGCUUGUUGUGUACAGUGACCAUCCCAAACCCUCCGGACUCGUGUAACGCCAUUAGUUCGCCGUGUGUUUCGAGCGAUCCACCAGUGUCGUCAGUGAGUGCCCUAGUACAGCUCCCGUCCGAACUGCCUUUGUUCUGCCGAGCUGCUGCCGGCGCUGUUCUGCCGAGCUGUUCUGCCGGCGCUCUCGUCAAAAGUCUGGUACUGGGGCUUCGAAUUGUAGUGUUUGGAAGACUGUUGAAGGUUGUGCUUUUGUGGAGCUGGAGUUCAUCGGCAGUUCUACAGUGCUUGCGCCAGAGAAACGUCGGUGCUUCUGUACCUGUUAGACGAAGGAGCGUUUGCCAAGUCUUGAAAGGUAGACAUCGCUGACGGUGUAUACGUUGAAAAGGGCCUGCUGAAGAGGCUGUGCCUGGAUGCUAACAACUCAGGCUUUCACUUCGCGGAGGGCCUCCUUAAAGCUCCUUUUUCAAUAGAAGACGUUGAAGGGAGGUCCUUCUUUGGGCGGCUGUCAAAUGCCUUCCACAGAAGGAUCUGUUGGAUUCCAAGAAGGUCAACACCAUAGUAGACUACACAACGCAACAUUUCAGCCUACUUCCAGGGCAGCUGGAGAACUCGUCCCCCUUACUAGCCCGGGGAUAUUAAAUGGAUGUGUUCAAGCACAAA